ACGCUAGCGAUAGGCUUAACACAUGCAAGUCGAGGGGCAGCAUGGUCUUAGCUUGCUAAGACUGAUGGCGACCGGCGCACGGGUGCGUAACGCGUAUGCAACUUGCCUCACAGAGGGGGAUAACCCGUCGAAAGACGGACUAAUACCGCGUACACUCCACUUUGGGCAUCCAAAGUAGAGGAAAUGAAAUUCGCUGUGAGAUAGGCAUGCGUCCCAUUAGCUAGUUGGUGAGGUAACGGCUCACCAAGGCGACGAUGGGUAGGGGAACUGAGAGGUUGAACCCCCACACUGGUACUGAGACACGGACCAGACUCCUACGGGAGGCAGCAGUGAGGAAUAUUGGUCAAUGGGCGAGAGCCUGAACCAGCCAAGUCGCGUGAAGGAUGACUGUCUUAUGGAUUGUAAACUUCUUUUAUACGGGAAUAACAAGAGUCACGUGUGGCUCCCUGCAUGUACCGUAUGAAUAAGCAUCGGCUAACUCCGUGCCAGCAGCCGCGGUAAUACGGAGGAUGCGAGCGUUAUCCGGAUUUAUUGGGUUUAAAGGGUGCGUAGGCGGCCUGUUAAGUCAGCGGUGAAAUCUAGGAGCUUAACUCCUAAAUUGCCAUUGAUACUGGCGGGCUUGAGUGUAGAUGAGGUAGGCGGAAUGCGUGGUGUAGCGGUGGAAUGCAUAGAUAUCACGCAGAACUCCGAUUGCGAAGGCAGCUUACUAAGGUACAACUGACGCUGAAGCACGAAAGCGUGGGUAUCAAACAGGAUUAGAUACCCUGGUAGUCCACGCAGUAAACGAUGAUAACUGGGCGUAUGCGAUAUACAGUAUGCUCCUAAGCGAAAGCGUUAAGUUAUCCACCUGGGGAGUACGCCGGCAACGGUGAAACUCAAAGGAAUUGACGGGGGCCCGCACAAGCGG
rnacentral:rRNA from 1 species